GGGCCGAUAGCUCAAUGGUAGAGCAGCGGCCUUUUAAGCCGUUGGUUCAGAGUUCAAGUCUCUGUCGGCCCACCA
rnacentral:tRNA from 1 species